rnacentral:rRNA from 1 species
GACGAACGCUGGCGGCGUGCCUAAUACAUGCAAGUCGAACGCAGUGGGGACGGGUGCGUAACACGUGGGUAACCUCCCAUCAGAGGGGAUAACACUUGGAAACAGGUGCUAAACCGAUACUGAUGGAUGAACACGCGGUGCAUUGGCUAGUUGGGGAGGUAACGGCUCACCAAGGCCACGAUCCAUACGCGUCCUGGACGAGUGAUCGGCCCACCUGGGACUGAGACACGGCCCGGACUCCGACGUGAGGCAGCAGUAGGGAUUCUUCGGCAAUGGACGAAAGUCUGACCGAGCAACGCCGCGUGAGUGAAGAAGGUUUUCGGAUCGUAAAACUCUGUUGUUAGAGAAGCGGUAUCUAACCAGAAAGCCACGGCUAACUACGUGCCAGCAGCCGCGGUAAUAC